UGUGGGGGGCGUGCAGGGGCCGGGGAAGCUGUCAAGGACCCAGCACCUGCUGUGUCCCCCACAGC
ensembl:miRNA